UACGUAGGGGGGCAAGCGUUGUCCGGAAUCAUUGGGCGUAAAGAGCGCGUAGGCGGCCCGGUAAGUCCGCUGUAAAAGUCCAGGGCUCAACCCUGGAAAGCCGGUGGAUACUGUCGGGCUAGAGUCCGGAAGAGGCGAGUGGAAUUCCUGGUGUAGCGGUGGAAUGCGCAGAUAUCAGGAGGACACCGAUGGCGAAGGCAGCUCGCUGGGACGGUACUGACGCUGAGGCGCGAAAGCGUGGGGAGCGAACAGG
rnacentral:rRNA from 1 species